UACGGGAGGCAGCAGUGGGGAAUUUUGGACAAUGGGCGAAAGCCUGAUCCAGCCAUUCCGCGUGAGUGAAGAAGGCCUUCGGGUUGUAAAGCUCUUUCGCAAGGGAAGAAAACUUACUUUCUAAUAAAGAGUGAGGUUGACGGUACCUUGAUAAGAAGCACCGGCUAACUACGUGCCAGCAGCCGCGGUAAUACGUAGGGUGCGAGCGUUAAUCGGAAUUACUGGGCGUAAAGCGUGCGCAGGCGGUUUGGUAAGUCAGAUGUGAAAUCCCCGAGCUCAACUUGGGAACUGCGUUUGAAACUACCAGACUAGAAUAUGUCAGAGGGGGGUAGAAUUCCACGUGUAGCAGUGAAAUGCGUAGAGAUGUGGAGGAAUACCAAUGGCGAAGGCAGCCCCCUGGGAUAAUAUUGACGCUCAUGCACGAAAGCGUGGGGAGCAAACAGGAUUAGAUACCCUGGUAGUCCACGCCCUAAACGAUGUCUACUAGUUGUUGGUGGAGUAAAAUCCAUGAGUAACGCAGCUAACGCGU
rnacentral:rRNA from 1 species